rfam:Picea glauca, whole genome shotgun sequence.
GCAUGCCUACAUCAUAGCGUUAAUGCACCGGAUCCCAUUAGAACUCCACAAUUAAGUGCGCUAAGGUUAGAGUAGUACUGGGAUGGGUGCCUGCUCGAGAAGUCUUAGUGUUUUACAUGCC